UGUGCUUCACUUCCCUGGCACAGUCCCUGGUUUCAUGAAUUUUAUCCACGUUUCAUCUAUUAUAUUGUUGGUUGCCUAUACAAAAAAAAUCAGGCACAUUUGAAGAUAAACAAAAAAAGUCUCGGAUUUGUAACAAUUUAAAUCCUUACAAAAGUUAAUCCACAAAUUGAGCGAACAAAAACCCCAGGAAUCAUUAUUGUGUUGUAAAAUGUUAUGUCCGCCUCCUCGUAAAAAAAUUUGCUUUAUGAUAUAUUGGUUAUGUCAUCUCGCAUAUCCCAUACCCCCCAGUCCAUAAAUCAUUAAUAAUUAAUAAUAAUCCAAAUAAUCCAUACCACACAGAAAAUCCCGUAGUGAGGAUACUGUAUAAUUUUAGGUCUUUUUAAGACAGCAUCCAUAAGUAAAGCCAAGACAUUGUGGGAACUUGUGUGGUGAGGACCACGGCCGUAUAUAACAGGUCUGCGAACUCCCAGUUUAAAAUGGUCUUUUUUGGAAGAGAUCCCAGGAGGCCACGGGAACUUAAAGUUCCUAGCGCCGUCUACUGGACACUAUGAUGAAACUAUUCACAAAGGUCGACCAAUAAUGAAUGAAAUUUGCGUAAAAAUGUCCUUGAAUGCAAGUUGUCAAAAAUGUCAGCUUUAUAGGUUAACUUUCGUGACGUCUUUUUGAAAGAUGAGGGGGAAUAUACGUCAAAUGUCAUGUUAAACAUCAGUUGAUAGUGCAAAUAGUACAAUUAACUACCACAUGGUGGCGGUCAUCUUAAGCUCCCACUAAAGUCCCUAGAUAACCAAAGUACCGCAAUUGAAUGUUUCAAUGUGUUAGAGAGAGAACGUAUAUUUCGGACACAAUAUGGCGACCGACAAACGUCAAUGUUAAUUGUCAAACGCUCUUUAACGCAUCACCUCGUGGCGUAAGUCCUGUUUUGCAAAGUUGUUUGUGUUUUUUGUAAAGUUGUUUGUGUUUUUUGCAAAGUUGUUUGUGUUUUUUGUAAAGUUGUUUGUGUUUUUUUGUGGUGUUUUAUGACUUUUAUUUUAAAAUGACAAGUUGUUCUGUUCCUUUGUGUAAAAAUAAAAGCCGAUUGUUUCGUCUUCCAACAGGUGUUAGUAAUAGGUCUAGAAGAGAGAUGUGGAAGAAUUUAAUAGGCCGGGACGAUUUGAACGACAACUCCAGAAUUUGCGAAUUACAUUUUUCUGAACAACAAUUCGAAGCAAAGCGAGCAGAUGGAAGGAAACUAUUGCGGCCGAAAUUUUGUUAAUAAACUGGUAUUGCAAGGUU